rnacentral:snoRNA from 1 species
UUUCAUAUGAAUGCAAAAGAAAAUAAUUGCUGUGUAUUCUGACUGCCUUCGUGGUGGCCCAGAUAGAACUGGGGAAUAAAUCU